CCUACGGGGGGCAGCAGUGGGGAAUAUUGGACAAUGGGCGAAAGCCUGAUCCAGCCAUGCCGCGUGUGUGAAGAAGGCCUUCGGGUUGUAAAGCACUUUCAGUGGGGAAGAAAGCCUUGGGGCUAAUACCCUCGAGGAAGGACAUCACCCACAGAAGAAGCACCGGCUAACUCCGUGCCAGCAGCCGCGGUAAUACGGAGGGUGCGAGCGUUAAUCGGAAUUACUGGGCGUAAAGCGCGCGUAGGCGGUCUGAUAAGCCGGUUGUGAAAGCCCCGGGCUCAACCUGGGAACGGCAUCCGGAACUGUCAGGCUAGAGUGCAGGAGAGGAAGGUAGAAUUCCCGGUGUAGCGGUGAAAUGCGUAGAGAUUGGGAGGAAUACCAGUGGCGAAGGCGGCCUUCUGGACUGACACUGACGCUGAGGUGCGAAAGCGUGGGUAGCAAACAGGAUUAGAUACCCGAGUAGUC
rnacentral:rRNA from 1 species